UACGUAGGGUGCGAGCGUUAAUCGGAAUUACUGGGCGUAAAGCGUGCGCAGGCGGUUCGUUAAGUCAGAUGUGAAAGCCCCGGGCUCAACCUGGGAACUGCAUUUGAAACUGGCGGGCUUGAGUGUGGCAGAGGGGGGUGGAAUUCCGCGUGUAGCAGUGAAAUGCGUAGAGAUGCGGAGAAACACCGAUGGCGAAGGCAGCCCCCUGGGCCAACACUGACGCUCAGGCACGAAAGCGUGGGGAGCAAACAGG
rnacentral:rRNA from 1 species